rnacentral:lncRNA from 1 species
UUUGAUAUCACUUCUGUGUUAAAAAUUACUGUUUGUAAAGAAUGAAUUAGAAAAGAAAUGGUCAUAGACCAUCUGUUCUAUGUCCCAAGUAACUAAAAGACAGAAGAAUAUUAUAAAAGAUUCAUAAGAAAUAUUAACCUUCACUGUUGGGAUUUCUGUGGUAGGGACAGUUUCAACAAGAACAAAGCAUGUGUAACAAUAAAACAUCCUUGAGCUACUGCAUCGUGGGCAUUUUGAUCUCCCACUUUUCUUUGCCUUUUCAAGUACUUCCUGUGAUGCUAACUGUAAUUUUUGAAGCGGGUUAUCUUGAAAUGAUGAUGGAGUCUGCAGUUCUAGACUUCCCAAACGUGCAGUAUUUCUUUUUGGUCCUUGAGAGUUUUCUUCAUUUAGAAUUGUAGAUGAACUUAAAGACAUGGUUAGCUUCGCCGUGGGUCGCGGAGCUCCGCGCCGCUCCCUGCCCCGCCGGCCCGGCUCCCAGCACGCGCUGCG